rnacentral:rRNA from 1 species
AUGAGUUUGAUCCUGGCUCAGAAUGAACGCUAAUAGUAUGCUUUACACAUGCAAGUCUAACGAAUUUUUCGUGGCAAACGGGUGAGGAAUAAAUAGAUUUUAACCUUUUGGAAAAAAAUAAAACAUAAUCUUCUUUAUCUAUAAUUUUGACUAAAAAUAUUUUAUUAUUUGUGUUAAUGUUUUAUAAAAAUUACUAAAAAUAUUGAUAGAUAUAAUUAUUUAUAUCUGUAUUAAUGUGCCAAAAGAUAAAUCUGUUUAAGAUUAGGUUGUUGGUAGAAAAGACUACCAAGCCGUUGAUCUUUAGUUGAUUUGAGAGAAUGAUCAACCACACUGGAACUGAGACAAGGUCCAGGCUAAUGUUUUGGCCAGCAGUGAGGAAUAUUGGACAAUGAACGAAAGUUUGAUCCAGCAAUACUAUAUGAAUGAUGAAAGCUAAUUUGGUUGUAAAGUUCUUUCAAUUAAUUAUGAUAAUGACAUAAAUUAAAGAAGAAGUCCCGGCAAAUCUCGUGCCAGCAGCCGCGGUAAUACGUAGGGUGCGAGCGUUGUCCGGAAUUACUGGGCGUAAAGAGCUCGUAGGUGGUUUGUCGCGUCGUUUGUGUAAGCCCGCAGCUUAACUGCGGGACUGCAGGCGAUACGGGCAUAACUUGAGUGCUGUAGGGGAGACUGGAAUUCCUGGUGUAGCGGUGGAAUGCGCAGAUAUCAGGAGGAACACCGAUGGCGAAGGCAGGUCUCUGGGCUGUAACUGACGCUGAGGAGCGAAAGCAUGGGGAGCGAACAGGAUUAGAUACCCUGGUAGU